rnacentral:rRNA from 1 species
CAGCAGCCGCGGGAAUACGUAGGUGGCAAGCGUUGUCCGGAAUUAUUGGGCGUAAAGGGCUCGCAGGCGGUUUCUUAAGUCUGAUGUGAAAGCCCCCGGCUCAACCGGGGAGGGUCAUUGGAAACUGGGAAACUUGAGUGCAGAAGAGGAGAGUGGAAUUCCACGUGUAGCGGUGAAAUGCGUAGAGAUGUGGAGGAACACCAGUGGCGAAGGCGACUCUCUGGUCUGUAACUGACGCUGAGGAGCGAAAGCGUGGGGAGCGAACAGGAUUAGAUACCCCAGUAGUCCAUGUCUCUUAUAC